UUAGAGUUUGAUCCUGGCUCAGAGCGAACGCUGGCGGCAGGCUUAACACAUGCAAGUCGAGCGGGCGUAGCAAUACGUCAGCGGCAGACGGGUGAGUAACGCGUGGGAACGUACCUUUUGGUUCAGAACAACACAGGGAAAUUUGUGCUAAUACCGGAUAAGCCCUUACGGGGAAAGAUUUAUCGCCGAAAGAUCGGCCCGCGUCUGAUUAGCUAGGUGGUGAGGCAACGGCUCACCAAGGGCGACGAUCCAGUAGCUGGUCUGAGAGGAUGAUCCAGCCACAUUGGGAAUGAGACACGGCCCAAAACUCCUACGGGAGGCAGCAGUGGGGAAUUAUUGGACAAUGGGGGCAACCCUGAUCCAGCCAAUGCCGCGUGAGUGAUGAAGGCCCUAGGGUUGUAAAGCUCUUUUGUGCGGGAAGAUAAUGACGGUACCGCAAGAAUAAGCCCCGGCUAACUUCGUGCCAGCAGCCGCGGUAAUACGAAGGGGGCUAGCGUUGCUCGGAAUCACUGGGCGUAAAGGGUGCGUAGGCGGAUCUUUAAGUCAGAGGUGAAAGCCUGGAGCUCAACUCCAGAACUGCCUUUGAUACUGGGGAUCUUGAGUUCGGGAGAGGUGAGUGGAACUGCGAGUGUAGAGGUGAAAUUCGUAGAUAUUCGCAAGAACACCAGUGGCGAAGGCGGCUCACUGGCCCGAUACUGACGCUGAGGCACGAAAGCGUGGGGAGCAAACAGGAUUAGAUACCCUGGUAGUCCACGCCGUAAAC
rnacentral:rRNA from 1 species